AGAGAGAGACAUGCGCGCAUAUCAAUAAGCGGAGGAAAAGAAACUAACAAGGAUUCCCCUAGUAACGGCGAGUGAAGCGGGAAGAGCUCAAAUUUGAAAUCUUAAAGGGUUUCCCUUUACGAAUUGUAGUUUAAAGAAGUGUUUUCUGUUGAGGUUUUGGUAAAAGUUCUUUGGAAUAGGACAUCAUAGAGGGUGAGAAUCCCGUAUUUGACCUUUACUUUCAACUUUGUGAUACACUUUCAAAGAGUCGGAUUAGUUUGGGAAUGCAGUCCAAAAUGGGUGGUAAAUUUCAUCUAAAGCUAAAUAUUGGCGAGAGACCGAUAGCGAACAAGUACCGUGAGGGAAAGAUGAAAAGAACUUUGAAAAGAGAGUUAAACAGUACGUGAAAUUGUCAAAAGGGAAGCGUUUGACACCAGUGUUGUUUUUCUGAAAAUCAAUUAAAGAACUGUUUAUGCUAAGCUGUUUAGACUUUAUCAGCUAUCUGUUUAGUUUUGAGCUUUUCUUUAAUGCACUUUUCAGUUAACAAGUCAACAUCAAUUUCUUCUGCUGUAAAAAAGCUUGAGGAAGGUGGCUUGAGAUUCGUCUUAAGUGUUUAUAGCCUCUUGCCUAUGCAGUCGGAGAGAUUGAGGUCUGCAGCGUAGAUCCUUCGGGGCUAAAUGCAUUUGUGCUAAGUUAUAGCAUUUUAUAGACAACUUGUUGACUAUGAUUUGUCUUGUAGCUUACUCGCUUAUGUUAUUUUACCUACGCUUAGGAUGUUGACGCAUGAGAUAUACGC
rnacentral:rRNA from 1 species